AGCCUGCCUGCCUGCAGCCUGCCUGCCUGCAGCCUGCCUGCCUGCAGCCUGCCUGCCUGCAGCCCGCUGCCUGCAGCCUGCCUGCCGCCUGCCUGCAGCCUGCCUGCAGCCUGCAGCCUGGACAAAGCAGUUUGGGACCGUAUGGCCAACACCAACACACCACGACAGACACACCUCAGUUCAGUCUGCUGCAGUAACAGUUCGAGUGCAGGCUGAAAUCCCCCAAACUAACUAAGCUCCACCCGCAGCUCCGAUUCUCCCUCCUCUCCCUCCUCUCCGAGGAUCACACGCAGCAUCAGGAGGCCAGACGAUGCCGCGAAUCAGGAAGCGCACGCACACACGCGCGCGCGCGCCUGGAUUACGGUUUAUAACAUCCCAUCAGAAUUGGUUUUGACACGGAACACGCAGUGACAGACCUCUUGCUCCAUGUGAUCUGGGAUAAAUGUGAGAUUUAAAAAGGGUACGUUGUUUAAUGACCGAAUGGACAGGCUGUAAAAUGGUAGGUUUAUUUUGAAAAUCCGUUAUUUUUGAGUUGGUAUGCAAAGGUGCUUUCUACUGAACCAGUCAUCAUCUAUCUUAAACAUUCAAACUAACAAAAAUCCUCGUCUCAUCAUCAAAAUAACGCCUUAGUUUAUAAUAAAUCCAUGAACAAUAGUCCUAUCAUUUCUUCCCUUAAACAAUACAUCUGCUGUGAUUCUAGAAGUGUGGUGCUCCUGUGUGUGUGUGUGUGUGUGUUCAUGCUGCAGCAGUGCGGCUCACUGAUGUGACAGUGGAGCUCUGUGGCUCAGAGGAACGAGCUCCAUCACACAACACGGGCUGCUCGCUGGCUGCUCUGGCUCUGCACAUGGGAUUUGCUGACAAGAAGAAAAAUACAGAAUUUGACCGGAGUUCUUUUAUUUUGGAAGAAAGUGUCAUUUUACAGAUGUGACAUUUUGCACAGCAGUGUGUUCUGGACCUGUAGCACCACCGUCUCAGUGUAGAAAUCUGAGCACGUCAUUUUAAAAAGGCACUCACUUUUAUGGAUCCUACUAACAACAGAUGUUUGAGUCAAGCAGGAAUAAUAUCAUUCAGUGCUCACUUCCACAAACUGUACAACUGUAUAGAGAGAAAGAAAUCAAGCUGCUGACUUUGCUGGAGCUGUGGUGGACUACAAAGAGCCUGGUCAGGACAAAGAAGAUUACAUUAUAUAAAAGGGAAGUACAACAACAUGGCACGGUUAACUGGAGGAUGACUGUGGUGAAGACAAACAUUACGGGGGGGGGACUUUAACAUCACCUGCUCACUGAUUGUAAUCUGUAUGUGGGUCAUUCUUCCCCCCUCUGACUUUUUCCUUCUGCUGCAUUUUAUCAGCUCAGUGUGAAAUUUGACUUUUGUGUGAAAAUGUUGUUGCUAAUCUGGUAGACACUAACAUGCUAACAGCAACAUAUAGGCCUGUUUGGGAACCAAUCAGACGACAGAAAACCAUAAAGCCACGAGGAGAGCGAGAGCCCGUCACAGCUCAUCAGACGGUCUGCUGUGAUGGCAGCUGCAGCUCGGUGCUGCUGUUCUCUGCAGACACGUCUGUUGGCCUGUCUGUUGGCCUGUAUGAGUUCACAUGUAGUCAGUCUGUCCCAUCAGAGCAGCCGAAGCAGCAGUCAGCAGCUCCUGUCUGCAGUGGACCCGUGGACGGACAGACAGCUGUCUCUGGAUCACUGUGAGACUGAAGGAAACUUAGAAACUGCAGGAUUCUCAGGCAGUCUAAGUCUGUCUAAGCUGAUUCCUGGAGGUUGAUUCUGGACGGACGUCAGAGACGAUGAUCUCCUCUGGACUAGAUGUGAGUUUCAUGUUGAGUUAUGACUCAGAUCCACCUCCUGCGGUAUCUUUGCCUCCCCUCCAGCUCUCCGGCGCCCCCCUGGGGAGGCUGCAGUCUUUGUCCUGCUGAAUGUCCAUGUCUGUUACAGACCGUGUCCUGUCCUUUCACCAGGGUUAAAAUGCCGUCCGGAGCGAGGAGCACGGUGAAGGUUGCAUCCCGUCCGAAUGGGGCUUUAUAGGCCUUUUUCCCAGCAGGCAUUUUGACAUGUCACAGCAGGGAAAGCACAGGUGUAGUCAACAACAUUAAUGACAACAUGCCAUUUAGAUCAGCCAGUUGCAGGGCCCUGCUAUCGUGCAUGACGUGCGCUGCCAUGGCCUGCUGGGACACUUAAUGGAACUGAUGCUAAUAACUAAUGUCUUUAGUUCCACCUGUGCUUUUCCUGCUCUGACGUCAAAAAUGUCUGCUGUGAAAAAGGUCUAUAGGCAAACGGUGUACAUACACUGUCAUCAGCUGCAGAAAGCAGCAUCAGCAGGCUCUCACAGGACCAUAACCGUGGUUUGGCAUGUUUUAGCACAUUUACUACAAAUCAGUUACACUUUACAUCCCAGCUACCCAUUUUCCAAACCAUCAUUUCUGUACAAUAUGAAAAUAAAUGCUUGAGUUGUGUACUCCAUCACAGUAAACAUCAAGUCUGUAUCCAUUUUUUGUCAGUUUCAUUGUAAUUAUGAGGUGAUUUACUGCAGAGGUUUCAAACCAAGCUGCACUUGAACUGUUCUACCAGGCAGCAAUAAUGAAACUUUGACAAAACUGAAAGCAGAAUUGAUGUUCACUCUAGAUUACACUACUCAAAGUAAAGUCAAAAGCCAUCCAAAAAUCUCAAACAUGUACAGCAUACAUCCAGAAAUGUUGAAGCGUACAUGAUUUGUAGUUAGGGAGCUCAGCGGUCCUUUAAAGACAAAACAACAUGUUUGCUGAGUUCAAGUUUGACUUUCCCUGGCUGUUGUGUGAAAACAUCCACAGCGACAGACAACACAGACGGCCAGAAGGGCUGACCUGUCAGUUUGUUUCCACACCAGCUGCCUCUGUGUGGUGUUUGUAUUCCAGUGCAUGGCCUUAAUGAACAGCAGUGUAUACAAUACGCAGUGCAACAUAUUAACAUUAUCAACAUGUCGUCUUUUUUCUUGCACUGCAGACACUGUUGUUCUGUCUCUGAGCUUCUCCUUAAACUCAGUCCUGACCUCCGUUAGUGGCUGAUAAAACAGUGCUGGAAAUAAAACCUUCCACACCCAUCCAUGCCAUAAUCAUAUCUAUCUAUCUAUUCCAUGUUUAAAACUCAUUACCAUCAUAUGGACACACAGUUGGCAGUUGGAGGGAGAUUGGUUUCAUUCUUUCAACACCUUAGUGCUGAUUAUAUCUAAUCACUGAGAAAACUAUGGUUUUGGGUUUGGGCCCGGCCCCUGCUGGAACCAAAGCCAGGACAACAACAGUGGACGCAGUGCAAGUGACGCAGGCAGUCGUUUUUUAUCAUUUGAAGACAAAAAAAAAGGAAGAAAAUGAAACAUGUUCAUACUGCUCA